CAAACAGCCCUUUUCAGGGCUACCCAUUGAUCAAGAAAAGCUAAA
rfam:Lingula anatina scaffold3110, whole genome shotgun sequence.